GUAAGAUGGCCUUGGAAAUGUUCACAGACUCCACAGAGUGGGUGCAGUUGGAGCACUCAGAGGAGUUUCCAGGGAGGAGAGCCAUGGCUGUGUUAGUCCAGCUGAGCUGCCCAUUUUGAAAAUCUAUGAAGAAAAGCAACUCCAAACCAAGCAGAAGACGUUGCAAGGAGGAAGCCUCCUAGUGAGUGACACAACAUUUCAGAGUAUCUGGAAGCCAAGCUCAGCCUUUGCUGACUAAAUAUGGAGAAAAGAUGGAACAAGUUGAGGAAUAAUCCCAAGGAAGAAAAGGACAGAUUAUCUAAGCACAUACAUGAAAAAUGAGUGUUGCAUCGAGCAUCUCUGAGCAUUAUACUUGUGGUCAUUACCAAAUAAUGCCCAGCCUGUGGAGAUAGCUGAUGCUGAGAAGAGCAGACCCCAAGCUGCUGUGCCUGCCCCACACCCACCUCUUCGGUCUCCAGAAGGCAGCACAGCUCCUCUGUGAAUAUUCCCAACAUCCUGGGAAUGCAUCCUGCACACAAAGGUAGCACAUUUGACAACAAAUCUUCUCAGGACGACUGUCUCCUUUCCUGGUGCUGCAGAAGAUUGAAUUUCAUCUGCAGUUGUGGAAGCAGCAUUUGGAUAUUAGAGUUUUGCUGCAGGAAACUGGUAAAAUUAUAUCCACGAGACACAUAGGAGAGAAAAAUAUUUCCCGACACCAACUCAUCAGACUGGGAAGAUGUUCAGGACUCCAAACAUCAAGGUCAGGAAAGCACAUGAUGAAGAUGCUUGUUGAGACCUCCUACCUGAACUGGAUUUGGCCAGGAACCCCCUAAAUAAAGGAGUAAGGAACCAGGAUAAUUUCUACCUGCUCAGGCCUAGCUCACACCUUGUGGAGUCCUGCUGACUGGCCAAGGGAGAGGGGAUGGGCAAAGCAAAAUGUGGUCACUGCAGUUAUGGAUCUUCAGACCUGAAGGAAAAAAUCUUGUUCCAAAGUUAAGUGAGAGAUACAUCCCUGACC